AGAAACUCAGCCUUAAAUAUUGCUUAUCCAUGAAAAAGGAGAAGAUGAACUGAUGAUAAGGUGUGAGGGCAGCCUGCUACCUCAUGUCAGCAUCCAUUAUAAGGCACCAUGCAAAGUGACAUGACACAGAAUGACAGCUGCAGCCACCUCAACAUGGCAUCCGUGAAGCUGAUAUCGACGAGGCUGCCGUUACAUGUGCUCCACAUCCUAGCUGAGAAAAAAUGGAGAAAUGCUCAGAAACUAUGAAUGAAUGCAGAAAAACACCCUAACAGAAACACACAACUGAGUUGGCUUUACCAUUAAGGAUUUCAUUAAGAUCAAAGGAACCUGUUUCAUCCAUCUUAAACCUUCACCUGGCGAGGUGAUUUUUAUAAAUCAUAGUCUACUUUUAAAGUUAUGCUUACUAGAAAACAGGUCACAAUGUUACCCGGGAUGUGGGGGAUACACCAGGAGGGAGUGGAGGAACAUACUUGCAAAAACAUCCGCAUUCCCCUUUAGUGGAUACAUUUCUUGCUCCAGUUUUUAAGAAUCACUGUUUGGAGACUGGUUUACCCGUUUCUGUAUGCCAAAGACAACAAACAAUCCACUCCUCGGAGUCCAAGAACUCAAGAUACCGCUUGCAACUAUUCAUGUAAAAGGCAGCUAGACAUAAGGGCCUGUGUUUCCUCUCUUGAUAACCUAGCCUUUUUAUUCCUUUCACUGAGGACAACGCACCAGAUUAAAGCACAUUAAAAGAUAAGGCAUUCAGUACCAUUAACUCUCACUGUGGACAAUGUUUAUCUUCAGGUUGUGAGAAAUCUGCUAAAAAACAUAUGCAAUGUUGGCAUGUUUUUACUUACAAACCUUUGAUUUUUUUAACCUAGAAUGUUGGGAUUAGCUGAUGGCUCCUUUCCUUAUUUACAUUAUUUUUGCAGUUUUUUUAUUUAAUCGGUAAAUGGUUAGUAUUCCCAGGGCCUUCCUUACCACCCACACAUAUUUGCUGACAUAGUAACACUGACAAGGAAAUAAAUGCUUAAAGAACUGUGGGCUGGAAAUGAACUUUACAUGCCCUUAACCACUUAGCUAGACUCAAGUAAUGAAGCAUCAAAAAGCAAACCCAUCAGUUAGGUUUUGUAUGUGAAACAGAAAAAAUACUUAGUUUAACUUGUUAUCUAUAGAAGCAUAACACACCUAAAAUAAAGACGAAUGUUUUUUGUUUGUUUUGUUUUGUUUUGUUUUCUGAAGGACGACAUCAUAAUCCUGAAGCUCUGCUGGAAUUCUAGCUUCCGAGGUUUGGCUGAGGAAUGCCGUUGGUGAGGCUCAUGCCUUCCCAUACGCACACACAAUGAAGAGAUUCACUCCAGUUCCAUAUAAAUACACCAUGUUCCAGUAGUUGGCUUACUAACUCAUUGCCCUGAACUUGACCUUUUCCUAGAGAAGGAGUGUCGGAAAUGUGGUUAGCUUCUGAGGCAAAUCCAUAAAAGCCAACCUAACACAUAUUGAACACAGAGUAGCUUUCCAAACCCAUGGAGUAUGGAUCCGCUUUCCCUGUGUCAAUAUUGUUUCCAUGGAAAAAUCCUUACGCAUUCCAAGUGGGGUGUUCUCUCUCCAUAUGGGGAAGCCCAAGCACAUCCCACUCUAGCAAGAGAAACAGAUAAGCACACCCCACUCUAGCAAGAGAAACAGAGGUAGCUCCCUGCCUUACGUCCUGUUUUUUCCCAUUCUGACGGGGAGGAACGUCUUUAGCAUACAGUGGCACUACAGCUAAUGUGGAUUGAGUCAGUCACUCAAGAAUUCAGGGCUAUGCCAAGGUUGAAGAUCAGAAACGGUCUUCCUAGAAGGUGGCUGAAGGGUUACAGACUGUCAUCAGAAAAUCCUUACAAACCAGAUUUAGCUGGUGUCUCAAUCACCACUGUCACUUAUACCAUGUGCCCCACUUCUCAGGGACUCAUAUUUCCUGUCACCACCUCUUGUGGCUUCUGAACAGCACCUCCAGCUUUCUCUUCUGCCUCUUCCUUACAGGAGUCCUCCUCUCUCUGGAACAAAGGUGAUCUGGAGCAAGUUCAAGGGCAUUGACAUAGGGUGGAAAACAAAGAGGGUCAAACUUUUAGGGGCAGCAAACGGAGGGGCAAGGAACACACAAAGGAGAAAAACCCAAAGCCAUAGCUGUGCAAUAGAAGCCAAUUUACUUGAGGUGCUACUACAAAUGUUCAUUUUUAAGGUGAGUGGAGAGACUAGAAACUACCUUGGCAUUACAUAGCAAGGGCAUUUGGGGGGAUUUCUGUAUAAAUUUUACUAAAAUGUAAAUGGUGCAAAGAAUUUCCAUCUUAAGCCACUUGUAUUAACAAGUAUUUCAAGUUUUGGGUUUACUAAAUUUAAAAAACAUUAGAGAUACAAAUUAAUUAAUAAAAGGAUGAUUUUCUUAUUUUGGGAAAUUGAAGAAUGCCAUUUUCUGCACCUAGCAUCAGACCGAGGAUAUGAGGUGAGUCUGCCUAUGUGAAUCGCCUUGCCUGUUUUCAUUAAUGACCGUGUCCUUUGUUAAUAUUCUUACGAUGAAAUGUAUUCAGAAAUAUCAUUUCAUUUUCUGAAAGUAAAAACUUAGUCAAAAAACAGAGCCAAAUGAGACACAGUGAUGGUGAACCAUUAAUCUCUUCCAAACGGGCUCUUUAAACUCUAAUAAUAAAAAGUAUCACCUGGCUUCGCAUUUCCCCUUUGCAUAUGCAUACAUUUUGAAUGCUUUUCAGUUAUCUUGUCUAUUGUUGUUUACGUGCAUUUUAAAAUCUAUGGUGAAUAUGUGUUCUCUCUGAGACUUGUUUAUGGAAUCCUCAAGAAAAGAGUGGAAGAAGCUGUUUAUUGAAAUCUCUUGUCUCACACUUGGCACCAGGACAUGCCAGGUUUAAAACAAUGUUUGCCUGAAGGUAUCCUUUUCUGAUCCAGCAUAGUUACUUACAUGUUGCCUGCUAGGUAUACUUCUCAACUGUUUUAACAUUAAUGUGUUGAUAAUAUUAAUAAUAAUAGAAGAAUUUGCAAUAACAACUGUCAUUUAUUACAGCAAUACAAUUUUUGAAAUAAAUUUUAAAUAGAUCAUUCUAAACACCACAGCCUAUGCAUGUGGAAACUGACCCUAAUAUAGCUUAGCCCUAUUAAGGAUUUUGCAAGGUAGCAUAACCAGUUAGUGGAAUAACUAGUAUAUGUGUCCAAUACUCCAGACUCAUGACCCCAAGCCCUCUGCCGCACGUCUUCUAAUCUUUCUAAAAGUAGCAGCAUUUAAAUUAUUUUUGUCAUUCAGGAAUGCUUAUUAAAUAAAUUUCAAUCACAUAUUUAAUAAAUGUAAAAAAUACCCAAAGCUUGAUUGUCGAAAGUGUUC
rnacentral:lncRNA from 1 species